rnacentral:lncRNA from 1 species
GCCGCGCCGUGGCGAGGAGCAUGGACCCCCGCGGCGGCCGCGGCUGGAUCUGCCUGGCGGUGCUGUGCUCCGGAGCCGCUCUCGUCCUCGUAGGAGAGGAGCAGGGAGGCCAAAGCCUCCAGCAGCCCGACGGCGUCCUGGGGCCUGAGGGGGCCCCCAACUCCACCGCCGGGGAAGGGGAUGAGCCGGCGGCGUGGACGUUGGUCCCCCCGGGGGACGGGGCCGCUGACCCCUCCGCCCCGCCGACGGGAGCGGGUGCCGCGGGGAACAAGAGCCAAAACGCGUCGGCCGUUCCCGUGCGGUACUGGUCCCCGGUCAUUUUUGUGGCCGUUGCUUUGCUCGUGCUCUUCCUGACCUACAGGAGGACCAAGGGGGAAGAAAGCGGCAACCAAGUGGCCUCGAGCAGCGACUCCUCGGACUUGGGAGAAGCAGCCACCGUCCCCAUCCAUGACAGGGCCCCAAUAAUCCCUCCUGCCAGGGAGGAGCGAAAGGGGCCGGAGAAACCCCCAACCCAGGACCUGAGGGAAACCAUCCUCGGCGAGGAGGAUGCUCCCCCGCCGCAGCUGCUGCCGGCCCAGCCCGUUGCACCUGUGGCCACCGGCAGCUCCCGCUGCUCCGGAGCGCCUGGCGCUGACUGAGGGCUCCCAGCACGGCCGAAGCCCGCGGAGAAACCAGCAGCUUCGAAACGCCCCGAGGAGGCGGUGAGGCUGGGUCACACGCGCGGUGAGGAUGCUCCUGGCUGGCGACGAGGCCUCGCCGCCUCCUCGGCCCUUCCCGGCCCGCGGGCGCUGGAGCAUGUGCCAAACCCUGGCAGGACGGGAGCCAGCGCGUGGCACGGCCAUGCACAACGUGGCCGCGCGUGGCAUGGCCGUGCACGUGCAUUUUCUAAUGCGCAUGCAAGGACAGGGGUUGGAUGGUCAGCGACGUGCACGGUCAAGCCAAUAAAGCAGGGUUUCACCCCA